rnacentral:tRNA from 1 species
GCGCCUAUAGCUCAGUUGGCAGAGCAGCUGACUCUUAAUCAGCGGGUCCUAGGUUCGAAUCCUAGUGGGCGCACCA